UCGUCAGCUGAUCCUCCAGUGAACUGAGAAGGUUUAUAGUCCUGUGAGUUCAGCGCUGCAGGACUCAGACCCGUCACGUCGACACAGCAGAAACCACAAACCACCAUGACUCUCAUCGUCACCAUCCUCAUCUGGACGCUGGCCUGCUGCAGCUUCACAGGAUGCAGCGGCCAGGUGACUGUGACUCAGCCUCCAGAAGUGACAUCUACUCCAGGAUCCACUGUCACUCUGACCUGUAAAACCAGCUCUGCUGUUGCAACGUGUGGUGGUGGUGCUCCGUGUAUGUACUGGUACCAACAGAAACCUGGACAGACCCCAAAGCUCCUAAUAAGAAAAGGGAGCACAAGACAUUCGGGAACACCAGCUCGGUUCAGUGGCAGCGGAAGCAGCUCUGACUUCUCUCUGACCAUCGGUGGAGUUCAGACUGAAGAUGCAGCAGUUUACUACUGCCAGAGUGUCCAUGUAAUAAACGGAGCAGAUGUGUACACUUUCGGUGGAGGAACCAAACUCAUCCUUGACUCGGGUGUGGUGCGGCCCACCCUGACCGUCCUCCCCCCCUCCAGUGAAGAGCUGAAGAAGGACAGUGUCACACUGGUGUGUCUGGCCAGCGGGGGCUUCCCCUCAGCCUGGAGCCUGGCCUGGAAGGUGGGGGGCAGCAGCAGCUCCUCAGGGGUGUCACGCAGCCUGGCCCUCCUGGGGAGCGGCGGCCACUACAGCUGGAGCAGCACCCUGAGCCUCCCUGCAGACCAGUGGAGGAAGGCGGGCUCAGUGAGCUGUGAGGCCAGUCUGACUGGACAGAGCCCUGUCACUCAAACCCUGGACCCUGACCGCUGCUCAGAGUAGAGCUCCAUCAACACUUCCUGUGUGAUAUGAUAUUCAUCCUUUGAUAGAAAUCAUGGUGAAGCUACAGAUCUCCUCUUAUCAGAUAUAGUCUGCAGGUUUUUACAACUUUCUUCUGUGUAUUAGUGUCUAUGUUGUUUUCACAAAUCUGAUCAUCUGCAUAUUCUGCUUCAUGUUCUUAUUAGUUUUCAUUCCAUUAAAAACUUUUUAUUCAUUAAAAAUAUGACGCCAACAUUCAAUCAUCAUUCAAUAAAACGUUUUGUUAUAAUAAAUCAAA